rnacentral:tRNA from 4 species
AGGGGCUUAGGAUAAUCCUAGACCAAGAGCCUUCAAAGCUCUAAGUAGGAGUGAAAAUCUCCUAGCCCCUG